AUUGAACGCUGGCGGCAGGCCUAACACAUGCAAGUCGAACGGUAACAGGAAACAGCUUGCUGUUUCGCUGACGAGUGGCGGACGGGUGAGUAAUGUCUGGGAAACUGCCUGAUGGAGGGGGAUAACCACUGGAAACGGUAGCUAAUACCGCAUAACGUCGCAAGACCAAAGAGGGGGACCUUCGGGCCUCUUGCCAUCGGAUGUGCCAAGGUGGGAUUAGCUAGUUGGUGGGGUAACGGCUCACCAAGGCGACGAUCCCUAGCUGGUCUGAGGGGAUGACCAGCCACACUGGAACUGAGACACGGUCCAGACUCCUACGGGAGGCAGCAGUGGGGAAUAUUGCACAAUGGGCGCAAGCCUGAUGCAGCCAUGCCGCGUGUAUGAAGAAGGCCUUCGGGUUGUAAAGUACUUUCAGCGGGGAGGAAGGGAGUAAAGUUAAUACCUUUGCUCAUUGACGUUACCCGCAGAAGAAGCACCGGCUAACUCCGUGCCAGCAGCCGCCGUAA
rnacentral:rRNA from 1 species